rnacentral:rRNA from 1 species
UACGUAGGGUGCGAGCGUUGUCCGGAUUUACUGGGCGUAAAGCGCACGUAGGCGGAUCGUUAAGUCGGGGGUGAAAUCCUGGAGCUCAACUCCAGAACUGCCUUCGAUACUGGCGAUCUUGAGUCCGGAAGAGGUGAGUGGAACUCCUAGUGUAGAGGUGGAAUUCGUAGAUAUUAGGAAGAACACCAGUGGCGAAGGCGGCUCACUGGUCCGGUACUGACGCUGAGGUGCGGAAAGCGUGGGGAGCAACAGGAU